GAUGAACGCUGGCGGCGUGCCUAACACAUGCAAGUCGAGCGAUUCUCUUCGGAGAAGAGCGGCGGACGGGUGAGUAACGCGUGGGUAACCUGCCCGGUACACACGGAUAACAUACCGAAAGGUAUGCUAAUACGAGAUAAUAUGCUUUUAUCGCAUGGUAGAAGUAUCAAAGCUCUGGCGGUACAGGAUGGACCCGCGUCUGAUUAGCUAGUUGGUAAGGUAACGGCUUACCAAGGCGACGAUCAGUAGCCGACCUGAGAGGGUGAUCGGCCACAUUGGAACUGAGACACGGUCCAAACUCCUACGGGAGGCAGCAGUGGGGAAUAUUGCACAAUGGGCGAAAGCCUGAUGCAGCAACGCCGCGUGAGCGAUGAAGGCCUUCGGGUCGUAAAGCUCUGUCCUCAAGGAAGAUAAUGACGGUACUUGAGGAGGAAGCCCCGGCUAACUACGUGCCAGCAGCCGCAGUAA
rnacentral:rRNA from 1 species